UGUUCGCAUCUCUUCUAUUAAGAGUUCUGUAUUCUCUUAAAUAUCUAUAGAAACCUUGCAAUAACUGGAGACUGACCAGAAAACGUUCGGGUUAUUUCAGUCUCAAACUGUAUAUUUCUUUUCUGUCCUUUUAUUUAUAUCUGUUUUUAUAAAACUGCAAAUGAAGGGGGUACUCUUUCAGUUCUCACAGUGCUAUACUGAUGGGAUUCUAGGGGAGGGGACCUUAAUUUCUUUUUGUUUGCCUGCGAUGGGACAUACGUCAUCUCCAAGGGGAACUGAUGGAAAGAUAACCUUCGGCAUCUGUCUCUGUCUUCCAUACUGAAUUGCAUUCAUUUAACAGAUUCAGCAUUCCAGAGGCAGCUUCUCCAGACGUUCCAGGUCAGACGAAUGACUCUUUCCGAUGGAAUCCCUGCGAUUCGUGGACAGCUAAACGUCUCCCUAACCAAACAACAGCGAAUGGCUGCAAAGACGUUGCGGUGUGCAAGAUUCAAGAGAUAUCUGGGUUUGGGACUUUCUACGUCGACAUUGGGGAACAAAAGUUGUCGGACUGUGUUCUCAAGAAUGGACAAUGCCAGCUGACUUACGGUGUAGCCACUAACAAACAAAUAAACACCAUCAUUGCCCUUGUGUGUGAUGAAACGGAAGAAGGGCUAGUGGAUCCGAUGAGAAACGUAUUUGCCUCAAAGUUAUUUGUAAGUACGCUUGCUGUGUUAGAUGUGUAUUAAGAUUGGAGAAUGAAUUUUAA